AACGAACGCUGGCGGCAGGCUUAACACAUGCGAGUCGAACGCCCCGCAAGGGGAGUGGCAGACGGGUGAGUAACGCGUGGGAAUCUACCUAGUUCUACGGAACAACAGAGGGAAACUUCUGCUAAUACCGUAUACGCCCUAAGGGGGAAAGAUUUAUCGGAAUUAGAUGAGCCCGCGUAAGAUUAGCUAGUUGGUGGGGUAAUGGCCUACCAAGGCGACGAUCUUUAGCUGGUCUGAGAGGAUGAUCAGCCACACUGGGACUGAGACACGGCCCAGACUCCUACGGGAGGCAGCAGUGGGGAAUAUUGGACAAUGGGCGCAAGCCUGAUCCAGCCAUGCCGCGUGAGUGAUGAAGGCCUUAGGGUUGUAAAGCUCUUUCAGUGGGGACGAUAAUGACGGUACCCACAGAAGAAGCCCCGGCUAACUUCGUGCCAGCCGCCGCAGUAACAC
rnacentral:rRNA from 1 species